rnacentral:pre_miRNA from 1 species
CAAGAGCCCGGUAAGCAUUCAAGUAGUUCGAAUCCCUUUAAUGCUGACGGAUUGCUCUUU